AUUUUUUGUAUACUUUCGUUAUUUAAAAUAUGAUAAUCAUUAAGAAGACGGAGAUGAAGAAAAGAAGGAAGUGGAGGCAAUGAGGAACAGAGAGAAGAAGGAAGGAAGGAAAUCAUGCUUGAAAGAAGAUGUUCUCCAAAGAGAUUGUUUUGCCUGCCAAUAAAAAGAGACACCUGGGAGCACCAUACUCUCUCCUAUUCCUCUGGGUAUCAUAUUUCCUUAUGACACCUGAAACUGAUGCCUUCUGGGUCCAUGAAAGCAGUGAGAUGAGCACAGGAAACCACGCUGAGGAUGGUUGAGCAAAAAGGUGACAUUGAGCCACUGGAUUAACCUGCCCAGAAACAGGAUAUCUUCAGAUUUCUUGUUAAGUAAGAA
rnacentral:lncRNA from 1 species